GAUUGUGCUAAGCCAUUUGAACUAAAAACAAUCAGCACAACUUUCUGAAUUGGUUCUACCUUUAAGCACACUUAAACUUUAAACUUUGCCUCAAGUUGCUGGACAGGCAUUGGUGAUCAGGUGUUGGAGGACAAAACUCCAACCAUCUGGAGAGCCCUGACUCUCUUGGUCUUUCAGAAGGCUGUGAAGACCUGGCUUUUCCCACAGGCAUUGGGUCAGGAUGAUAGAUAAGCCCAACAUAGCCUCCCUGGCUGUUUCUGCUUCCUGAUCUGAAAAAACUCCACGGGUGGCAUGAUAAAUCCUACAAAAAUCCCGUGGGCUUUAACUGAAGUGAGUGAUGUCACAAAGACAGCAGAUCACGAAGAGAGUGUUGUACAAUAAUAGACAGGAAACUCUCACACACCUCUUGGACGUCUUGUAAAUAAGAUGUUGGAUCUGAAUCAUUGACGGGAACUUACGUUUUCUUGCCCAUCCAAAUGAGUGAGAAUGUGUUAUAUAAGAGCACAGUAGUGGGCCGUAUCCUUGUUUCCAACUCUUCUUAUUUUGGUUUAUUUUGACAAGCUGCGGACUUUGGUACUUUUCAAACAUCAUCAGAGAUGGAGUUUAAGUAUUUAUUAUUUGAUCAUUUCCUAAAUAGAAAAAUAUGUGAAGGAGACUUACCUUUAACAGGGAUAUGUAUGUAUGUGGAGAAGAUGACAAUGUUUUUGUUCUUUAUGACUUGCAUGUGCCCUUUUCUUGCACCUGCAAAAAUCUAGAGUGCAAUCCAAAUUUAACCAUUUUAAGCUGCUGAUUACAGUGGGAGCACUUAACUUUGGCUAGAUUAUGAUCCCUUUUUUGCAUGCAUAAUAUUCUCUCUUCCAAAAUACUUAGCUGUGUAAACCUAAAGCCAUCUAAUCCUGUUUUUUUGUAGUAUUUUCUCAGGAUGUAUUUCAAGCCUUUCCACUCACUAGUGUAAAAUUAUGAAGCCUGGGUAGUAACGGAUCCCUGGUUUUGCAAAUGUUUUGUAGUUCCCUGUGUCCUUCUUUUUAUAGAUAUAAAAUAUUUAUAUUAACUCACAUGUACAGCCAUUGUAACAGACAGUACUUCUAAAGCCUACUUGUAUGAUUUCUUCUCUCAGUACAGUAUGAAGCUGUAUCCGUAUUCCAGGAGAUAAUAUAGAUACCUUUUUGCUUCCCUAACCCUGUUUUUCCCCCCAAAGAAAAUUUCCUUAAUGGUACCUCCUGUCCUACACAUUUCCUCCCCCCCUUCUUUUCUCAUGGGUAAAACUUGCUGUUUAUUUUGAUUUGUCACAAAUACUAGGUGUUGUUUGAAAAGUGUUAAACUUAGCAGGCCCAUACAGAUAAUGUGAGACGGGUCACUGGCUGUGAUAAAGAGUAAGAUAUGGUGGGAAUUAACCUGAAACGUUUACGGAGCUCUCCUGAUUCUCCUCAUCUGCAGCCUAUCAGUUAAGAACACUGUAAAUAUAUGGUCCAGUUUAGUAUUAAGAUGGCGCUUUAAAAAUAAACCCAUAUUCAGACGCCAAACAUUUUUUGAAAUGUUUUGUACUGAAGCCCAAACCAGACUACCUAUGAUAUGAAGAAUUUAUAUUAUUGUACAAAUAAUUGCCCUGAUUUACUUGGGUGCAUUAGAAGUCGAUCUGACCGUAUAAGUACAACAGAAAGAUACCUAGCGUGGCAUGGUUUUUUUCAUGAUUUUCAUGGGAUGACCUGCAAUAAACGUGGGAAUCUGCUGCAUGGAAAACACAUUCUGUGCAUGCAGAAGAUGACGUUCAUGGCAUCUCCAGGUAAGGCUGGGAAAGACUUCCAGCUGUAGCCCUGGAAGGCAGCUGCCACUUGGAACAAGUGUUAUUGAGCUGGAUCAGGAAUGAGCAACCUGACCUCCCCAAUUUUCCUUUGGGGAGCUCUGAUACACCUCUGAUUAGGGCUUCCAGGCAAUCAGGAUCAGAGGUAGGGCUACCAGAUUUGGGCUGCAAAAAUCCAGAUAACCUCUAGAUGGAAGCUAAAUUGCUUUGCUGUCAUCCAGUGGUUUUCUGGAGGGUUGCAGCCCAGAUCUACCUCUAAUCCUGAUUGCUGAAAACAAGUAACACAAUUUACUGCUGUUUUCUGCUGGUGAAUACAUGAGAAUUGCAGUGUAAGCUCUGAAGUAGGCAUAUCCAAAAAAACAAUCCCAAAUUCCCCCUCAUUCAGCCCAAAUUGCAUAUAUGAUGCAGCUCACUUUAUAGUCCUUAUCUUCGGCAAAUGUUAGAUGUACUUCUUGGCUGCCUGAAGUAGAUGGACCAAGGGUUUCUUUAUUUCUGUUUGCCAGAAUCCUCUGUUACCUUACAGAUUAAUUUGAGGUUGCCAUUGGCCUUUCUGCCUGUCAUCUUGGUCUGCCACUGAAAUGUUUUAGGCUAAGCCUGUUCAGUCAUGUGAGUUUUGAUACUCCCUCUUCCUCUACAGCUGCUUUUCUUACAAUGCGGCAAGCAUGUAUCUCGAAAUCUGGCUGAAAGGAAAGCACAUGGAAGGGAAGGGAUGACUAGAAGAAUAGGGAACAGCAUUAACAACCCUCUUCAACUUGCAAGUCUCUGCAAAUGUUAUAGAAUAUUGACAUCCACCAACCAGAUCCAUGUGUAAAUAAUGGUAGUGGGCAGAGCCAGAAAUGGGGGAAAGGUGGUUCAGGAGACUGAAUCUUUUAUUUUUGGGGGGUUGAGUGUCCCUGCUCUACCGAAAGAUGCAUUCCUAGAUAAUCACUGCCCCUUUUCCAAGCCAGCAAGUUAUUUAAGCCAAAUAACAGUUCCUAAAUUCAGAGGAAUCCUAACUUUGUCAAGAUUUAAUGGCUUUCUGACAACUAUUCUUGAGGGGAAACUGGGAAUAUCCCAUUUGAACAAGGACUCUGAUGAAGAAGUUAUGGAAACAUUAAACCAUGCUUUGUCAUAUUGCCCUUAUUACAAAAAUGCCCAGCUAAUAAUUUCCCAUCUAGCCAGAUUUCCAGGCCAUCCAAUUUCAUUCUGGUUACAGUUGUUACUGUCCAACCAAUGUGAUUUUAUUUCCCUGAAUAAAGUUUUGUUAAGUUUUGUUUCAUUUUUUGUAAAAUACAUUGUACUUUGACCAUAUCAGUUUUAUAAAUAUUCAGUUUUAUUCCAAUUUUCAUUUGCUGUCUCAGAAUUUCUCUUCUCUCUUCUUUCUUUAAUUGAUCAAUACCUGUAAUAAAGUUGAUUUAUUGACCGAAUGACUGAGUGGAGUGUCAAGGAAUCAGGAGAUGGGGAUUGAUGAAGUUCCUGCUUAUGGAACUCAUAAUCUCCCAAGCUCCAGGGACUCCUUUGGGAAGAAAAUUGGGUUGGUAGCUCAGCAGCCAUGGUGGGAAUUCAAGAGCAGAAUCCUGCAUUAAAGCUCCAUGUGGAAAUCCUCUGUAUAAAGCCAGGAUGUCAAAAAAAAGUCCUUAGCUUGCUUACAUCUAUGAUCCAGCUUUCAACUUGCAAGGAAUCUGCUAGUAGAAAGUUAGGACCUGCUGCCAUAAGAUGGUGCAAUCUUUAUCAUAUACUCCUGCUGAAUAUUUUGAACUGGCUUGGGUAAGGUUGUUUCUUUUAAAUCUACGUCCUUGUAAAAAUGUCGUUUAAUCAUGUGCCUUUUCUAUUCCUUUUAUUCUAGACAAGAUAUGUGAUGCAUAUUUAAGAGCAUCCCUAAUUCAAAUUCCAGCUCAGUUCAGACAAGCUAAUUUAUCUCAGCUCCAGACAUCUUGCUCAGUUGCUAAUGCCAAGUUGACAUAAAAUAAGCCCACUCAGAUCAGCAGUGCCAACUGCCAGUCCAGGUCAGGGUAAGCCCCUGAAGUUCCUUCAUGCCAUUAAAAUGCAAACAAGGUGUGGCUUAAAAAUGCUCUCAAUUAUCUUUCUGGAAUAGUAAGUCCAAAGGCUGAAUUUUUACUAAGCCAUUAUGUGCCCAGUCCAUGACCUCAUAUGAUCUGUGAAGCCCUUAUCUUGCCAAGUAAUUCCAACCUUAAUAAAGAUAGUGUGGUCUGUUUUAAUUUCCAGGCUAGUGAGGUAAGAACUUAGCAGUCCUCAAGAUUAGAGAUGUUUGCAACUGGUGGUCCUAAUCCUGUCCAUACUUUCUUGGGAGUAAGACCUAUGGACACAAGAGAAUGUCCUUCUGAAUAAAAAUAUUAAGGAUUACCUUAUUAAACAACAUAGGUGAAAUGCUUAAAGGAAGCACUCUACGCGUGCCAAGCUGAAUCAUCCAUCUUUAGUGCAAAGCACUGUGAGCAACCCUAAGCAUUUGGACAGGUUGGGCUAGACUCUGAAGUCAAGAAAGAACAGAAUAAUGCAAUCUGUUUACCGCUAUGUCUCCAGUCCAGCUAUUACAGUAGUUGCAGAGCAGACUUUUUUGUUCUUUUAAGGCAAAUUUGUUCUCUUUCAUUUGCAUAAGAAUGUAUGUCAAGUUUAUAUUUUGCUCAGAUAAACAUUCCAUGUCAUCCAACCUUGUCAGCCAAUCAGCACGUUGCCAAACAGCAAUUUGUAUGAGAAAAAG